GGAGGGAUCAUUAAGGCUACCAAGAACUGGGGACUUGUCCCCGGUUCCACCGUGUAAUGUUAAAGUUCUCCCCCUUAAAUGGGGCAAUAUACACCCUUUCAACGCACUUGGCCGCGAAAACUUCGGUUUUAGCGGCCCCAAUCACGUUCAAAGGCCGUCUUCUUCGCGAGACUCAGCCUUUUUACGCAGAAAUAUGACCCUUAACGAUGGAUGUCUCGGGUUCAAGAUCGUUGAAGAGCGCAGCAAAGCGCGAUAUUCGAUGUGAUUUGCAGAACAUGUGAUGCAUCAGACUCUUGAACGCAUGUGCACUGCGGGGGCUUGCCCCCGUAGUAUGUCCGGCUGAGUGCUAACAAACUCACUUCGCAACCAAUCCCCUCUUGUGGGGGGUUGUUCUGCGUGUUGGCGGUGCAAAGCUCCGCUUAAAUAGCUGCUUGAAGGCUGAUCUCGGCGUCCACCUAUGACGGAUUACUUUUAAUCCCAGGCAGAUCAGGCGAGAAAGACCGCCUCAAGUCAGGUUAUGGCGCGUGCGUGAGACUUUUGGCUCCGGUACUUCACCCGUUAAAAUUCGACGCUGGCGUGAUAUGUGUCUGCCUCUUCAGGCUUGACCAUAGCCAAUUAAACGCGUCCUACAGGGCAAUGAUAUUACCAGCCAAGUCGCGGCCCAUAAUGCAGGGUUAUCGAAGGGGACCUUCCGAAAAUCUGCUUGUAAAGCGGGGGUUGUGCGAGCGGGAUAAGACGCAGAACUCGGUUAUAAGACCGUGCAAAUAACUGCAUGGCCGCCGACAAGUGCGCGAUUAAGACUCGUUAACAGCCAACGUAGUAAAAAUGUUUUUGCUAUCGCGGUAAAAUGGACUAUAAGACGCACAGGUCAGCCUGUAAACCGUGCAAGACCCCGUAUGUUGGCCGACAAGUUGGCGUGAUAAGACCCAUUUAAGCGCUUGCGCGGUAAAAUGGGCAAUAAGACGCAGACUUCUCGGCUCGUAAAACGUACGCACGCUGCAUGUUUGGCCGACAAGCGCGAUAAGUUCCCUUUAAGCGAAGUUAGCGAAAGCUAAGGCAGACUUAAGGCUGAUCCCCCCCCGAUAAAAUGCCCCCACCACUUUAAACUUUUAGCCUCAGCUCGGAUAGGACCAUCCGCUAGACUUAAGCAUAUUAUUCAGCGGAAGAAAAGAAAACAACUGUGAUUUCCCUAGUAACUGCGAGUGAAGAGGAACAAGACCAGGAUGAAUCAGAGGGGUUUUCUCCUUUUCUGAGUUGUGUCCUUUAGAUCGGCGUCGGUGCGCGAUCUUCUUUCAAGUUGGCUGGAAAGCCACACCACAGAAGGUGACAGUCCUGUUGAAAGAAGAAGGUGCCGCGUAUCAUCAGCCGAAUCGAAGAGUCGCACUGUCUGGGAGUAUAGUGCAAAUCAGCAGGUAAGCCCCUGCUAAGUCUAAAUAUGGCUUGAACACCGAUAGCGAACAAGUACCACGAGGGAAAGAUGCAAAGAACUCUGAAAAGAGAGUUAAAAGUACCUGAAAUCGUUAAGGAGGAACCAGUGACAACAGCCUGUGUGAGGGGGCCGAAUCACUGCACGGCCGAUGACGGGCGCCUUUCCUGAGAUGCCUACGGGUAUUUCGUAAGAGGGAGGCUGCCGAAGUUGGUUGUGUGGGCACUUUGGCCUCUUCCGUUCAUAAUCCCUGCGUGUUGGGCCUGUUAGAUCGGAACGAUGCUGGGGAAACCCAGGUUAAGUCCGGUCGAAACACCCCGACGUUCUGGGAGGCGAAAGGAGCAGCCCUGCGCAGCCGGUGCUUGCUCGCUAGUUGUAGCAGGUAAGCAUCCUAGAUGCUUGCUUGUUGCGGCGGGUGCGUGUGAGUACCGCUGCUUGCUCCUAUUGAUUAUGAGAAGGAUUGCCACUGACCCGUCUUGAAACACGGACCAAGGAGUCUAACCUGCGCACGAGUUUAAGGGUGCAAAACCUGUAAGCGGAGAGAAAUCGAGAGCAGCGAGAUGCUGCUGGCUUCGGCCAGCGGUUGCAUCGCAGGCCCAGCCCGAGGUAAGUCCGAGGGUUUGGAGUCGGAGUGCGCAUGUUAGGACCCGAAAGAUUGCGAACUAUGCUUGCGUAGAGUGAAGCCAGGCGAAAGUCUGGUGGAGGCUCGUAGUCGUACUGACGUGAAAAUCGUUGAUCAAAUGUGAGUAUAGCGGCGAAAGACCAAUCGAGCAGUCUAGUAGCUGGUUCCUGC
rnacentral:misc_RNA from 1 species